rnacentral:rRNA from 1 species
GAUGAACGCUAGCGGCAGGCCUAACACAUGCAAGUCGAGGGGCAGCACAGGUAGCAAUACUGGGUGGCGACCGGCGGAUGGGUGCGUAACGCGUAUGCAACCUACCAUUGAUUGGGGCAUAGCCCGAAGAAAUUCGGAUUAAUACUCCAUAAUAUUCAUCAAAGGCAUCUUUUAUGAAUUAAAGCUUUUGCGAUCAAUGAUGGGCAUGCGUGACAUUAGUUAGUUGGUGAGGUAACGGCUCACCAAAACGAUGAUGUCUAGGGGUUCUGAGGGGAUUAUCCCCCACACUGGUACUGAGACACGGACCAGACUCCUACGGGAGGCAGCAGUGAGGAAUAUUGGUCAAUGGACGCAAGUCUGAACCAGCCAUGCCGCGUGCAGGAUGACGGCCCUAUGGGUUGUAAACUGCUUUUCCACGGGAAGAACCCUCCGACGUGUCGGAGACUGACGGUACCGUGGGAAUAAGCAUCGGCUAACUCCGUGCC